rnacentral:lncRNA from 1 species
ACGAGAAACCAGUGAGAAGUAAGAGAAACAUAGCCGUGAAACUCAAGGAUAACGGUGUUUAUGGCACCAUCGAAUCGAAACCCAUCGAAAAAAUGAUGGAAACAAACCCAGGUGAAGCUUCAGUGACUAUAUUGUUUGGUGGAGACUCAUGGGGUCUCAGGGAUGGAGAGAACCGGUGAGAUUGGGCUUCAAGGCAGCUGAUGGUCGAAAGAGGCGAGGCUGGAGGUGGCCGGAGAGAGGGUGAAGGUCAUCAGAGAGGAGGAACCAGAUGGUUCUAGAGAGAAGGAGGAGAGGAAGAGACAGGAUAG